rnacentral:rRNA from 1 species
UACGUAGGGUGCAAGCGUUAAUCGGAAUUACUGGGCGUAAAGCGUGCGCAGGCGGUUUCUUAAGUCAGAUGUGAAAGCCCCGGGCUUAACCUGGGAACUGCGUUUGAAACUGGGAGACUUGAGUGUGGCAGAGGGGGGUGGAAUUCCACGUGUAGCAGUGAAAUGCGUAGAUAUGUGGAGGAACACCGAUGGCGAAGGCAGCCCCCUGGGUUAACACUGACGCUCAUGCACGAAAGCGUGGGGAGCAAACAGG